UGGGGAAUAUUGCACAAUGGGCGCAAGCCUGAUGAAGCCAUGCCGCGUGUAUGAAGAAGGCCUUCGGGUUGUAAAGUACUUUCAGCGGGGAGGAAGGAAGUAAAGUUAAUACCUUUGCUCAUUGACGUUACCCGCAGAAGAAGCACCGGCUAACUCCGUGCCAGCAGCCGCGGUAAUACGGAGGGUGCAAGCGUUAAUCGGAAUUACUGGGCGUAAAGCGCACGCAGGCGGUUUGUUAAGUCAGAUGUGAAAUCCCCGGGCUCAACCUGGGAACUGCAUCUGAUACUGGCAAGCUUGAGUCUCGUAGAGGGGGGUAGAAUUCCAGGUGUAGCGGUGAAAUGCGUAGAGAUCUGGAGGAAUACCGGUGGCGAAGGCGGCCCCCUGGACGAAGACUGACGCUCAGGUGCGAAAGCGUGGGGAGCAAACAGG
rnacentral:rRNA from 1 species